CAAGAGCGUAUAUUAACGCUGUUGCUGUUAAAGGGUUCGUAGUUGAAUUGUGAGCUGUUCAAGAGUGGAUUCAGUCCCUGCCUCCGGCACGCGACCUUCCCUUUGUCAGUUCGUGAACAUCAGAAACAAAUAUCUCGGGAUCGUUACCUUCCCAACUUACGCGAGCAAUGUUCGCAGGGGGGCGCCCGUGUAUUUUAUCUGUGACUAAAAAAACGCGAACCAAAGCAGUCGUUGACAUGAAUUUGAAAGCAUGGGAUAACAACGAAGCAGCCUGCGGAGUUCCGUUUCGGCUUUUGUUGGUUUUAAAUCUCUGUGGGAGACUAUGGACUUGCAUGACCGGUGGUUCGGGGUUUUGUCCCCACACUUCC
rnacentral:rRNA from 1 species